rnacentral:rRNA from 1 species
UACGUAGGGUGCGAGCGUUGUCCGGAAUUACUGGGCGUAAAGCGCACGUAGUCGGCUUGUCAAGUCGGGUGUGAAAUCCCCGGGCUCAACCUGGGAACUGCAUCCGAAACUGACUUGCUAGAGUAUGGGAGAGGGAGGCGGAAUUUCUGGUGUAGCAGUGAAAUGCGUAGAUAUCAGAAGGAACAUCAGUGGCGAAGGCGGCCUCCUGGACCAAUACUGACGAUCAGGUGCGAAAGCGUGGGGAGCAAACAGG